AUGCUACUCUGCACCAACACCGCCCCUGUUGCAAAGCAGCCACACUACUGCGGCAUUCACGCAUGGCCCGCAGCCGCCAUUGAUGCAAGCAGGGGAAGGUCGACACCGGGAACGCUACAGUGCGGUUGCAGCAAGGUCGGGCGGAGAGCAUCUCUGGCAAGCACGGCUGUAAGGAAGACUAAUAUAUUCAACAAUGCAUGGAUGACUCAUACAACGGUGCAUGCAAGAGUUGGAAUUAAAUAUCAUGGAAAGAGCUCCAAUGGAGACAAGAGCUUCAGUCUGGACAAGAUCAUCUGUCAAGACAAGGUUUUCAGUCUAGACAAAAUCAUCUGUCAAGACAAAGAUUUUAGUCUGGACAAAAUCAUCUGUCAGGACAAAGAUUUGAGUCUGGACAAAACCAUUUGUCAAGACAAAGUCAUGCAUUGGAAUCAUGCAUGGCUAUGCAAACAUAGAUGCUUGACUGUGCAAACUACAAGGCACAUAAAAUAG
rnacentral:rRNA from 1 species